AAUGGAACCACAUGCUUAAAAAGAAAGAAAUGGAACUUGCUAAUGCAGGAGGAAAACAUGGGCAUCACAGUGCCCUUAAGCAAAGCGGACCAUCUCCAGACAUCAAAGAGCAUUAUAUCAUGGCUAAGAACAGAUGCUGGGGCCAGGGAGAUGGGCACAGGGAGAUGGCACUAAGCUUUCAGAGGAUUGGAGUUUGGUUCCCAUUCCCAUGUUGGCCAGAUCAUGACGGCCAGUGGCUACAGCUUCAGAGGACCUGGAACCUUCUUCUGGUGACCCUGCAUGCACCACCUUCAUAUGCACCUCCCCCUAAGACACACACGCCUUCCUAACUGUCUCUGGUGACAACAGGACAGGUACAUCACAGCUGUUUGUGUGCUAUGAUUUCCUGUGUGUGCACACAGGAAGAAGACCCUCUUUUCUUCUUUGCCCACAAACUGCUCUUCACUCCUGGGAUGACCUUGCUUCAGCUGGGAUCAGAAGCUCAAGAGCACACUGGAAGACAAAAUGGGUAGCAAGUGCAGGCAAGAAAGAGCGUCCAACCUCAGACACCACCGGGAAAAUGCAAAAUGUGACCAUGAGAUGCAACUUCUCAAACAUAAGGAUGACGAAAUGCAGAAGUCAAGUUGGUGAAGCUAUGCCCUCUUACAGAAUUAGAUAAAGACAUUGUGGAAACCGGGCGUAGGGGCAUCUUAGAAAGCUAAAAGUAGGAUUGCCGUAUGAUCCAGCAAGCUCACUUCUGGGUAGAGCGAAGGAAGUGAAGUCACAGACAGCCGUUUCAUGCUUAUACGUUGCAGUGUUAUAGUUGGUAGCAAUUUGCCUGAGAUGUACCAACUGAUCCAGAUGGAGAAAUCAGGUUACAUGCGAACAAUCGAAGGGAAUGUGAUUCAGCCUUGAAAGAGGCAGUCCUGAGUGAACAUGGAAGACAAAUGUACCCCUCAGGGAAAGAGACACAUAGAAGUUUGUCUAGGGACCUAGAAUAUUCUUUCUCGUGGAAAGAAAGGCCAUAUCCCAGGAGAGCUGAUUACCAGGAUGUGAAAUGGCAUCUGGCGACCGCGCAGCUGCGGAUUUUUGAAUCCAAAGCAAUAAAAGGAUCUAGAAACGUAAGCCAGUACUCUUUAAAAUAACAAUGAAAACCAUAAUGGACUCACAAAUGAAACAUCACACGGCUAGGUUGAAAUAGACAGGCUCGGGCCUCACCCCCGACUCUGCCUUUUGAUGAGCUUCUCCACAGCCAGGCGGGUGUUUUGGGCCAGGAAGUGUCUCUUAGGGCUUUGCUCUUUACUAUUAAUUACAUUUUUAUACAUGGGUAUUACCACAAAAAAGAGUCAAAAUAGAAAAACAUUAGCUCUCUUCGAGGACACAUGUGUCCUUUGCCUGAAUUCUGUCCCUUUGGUUGUCCUUUGUACAUGUUACAUGUACCAUAUGUACAUUCAUUUACAUGUAUGGAUAUAUACAUUACAGUCCAGGCUCUUCCUAUGAAGGAGAUUUUUUUAUUCUUUCUGAGAUUGGGUCACCUUCCUUAUAUAGAUUCUAAGCCCAUUCAUAUUUUUGCAAAUAAAUUUCUUCGCAUAUU
ensembl:processed_transcript